rnacentral:rRNA from 1 species
UACGGAGGGUGCAAACGUUGCUCGGAAUCAUUGGGCGUAAAGCGCGUGUAGGCGGCCAGUUAAGUCGAGUGUGAAAGCCCUGGGCUUAACCCAGGAAGUGCGCUCGAAACUGGCUUGGCUAGAGUACGGGAGAGGGUAGCGGAAUUCCCGGUGUAGAGGUGAAAUUCGUAGAUAUCGGGAGGAACACCAGUGGCGAAGGCGGCUACCUGGACCGAUACUGACGCUGAGACGCGAAAGCGUGGGUAGCAAA